rnacentral:lncRNA from 1 species
CUCUCAAUUGGAAAUCUCUGCUUGAAAAGAUACUUGCACUGAUGUUUAGGAUUGUCAUUGACUAGAUGACCGGUGUGUUGUCCUACCAGUGUGUGGAAAUGCCAACAGAAAAAACAAAUCAAUAUUGCUGUGUUCACUCAACAGAAGAUCUUGUCUGUCUUUCAAAACAGUCAUGCAAGUCAUGACACGGUCACAACGGUCCCAUAAGUGUACUUGUAGAAUACUGUGCAACCUGAUGUCAUUUUAGUAUCAAAUAAAAAUUUUCAUACAGACAGUAAAUAAAAUAAUUUUUAAUAUUAAAAACACUAUAAUUAAGAUGUUGCUACCUGAGUUUUCUUGCAAGUCAUCAUAAUUUUAUCUACCUUUUAUAACUUUGUAGGUGUCAUAUAUUGCAGAGAAAAAUUUGAAGACUUAAGCUCAAAGGCACAAGCAAUACUGGAGUGAGCUGGUACCUAGAGCCCAUACUGACUGUCUGGUGUGGAACUGAAGUCUAUAUUGAACUGGAGGGGACCUCGUUGUAUCCAGUGCUCUGUAAAUAUGCAAUUGUCCAACUUCACCAUCAGUCCAGAGGCUGAAUUUUGUGGCAGUGUAACCUGGAACGCCUCUACCUGUGGGGAUCGACAGAUGGAAGGAAGAACAGAAGGUGACGACAGCAGCUGUAGAACUACACAAUCCUCCUUUGGAGUAUUUCAUAUGAGGAUAUCUCUUUGAGGCUGACAGGCUGUCAUUUACCAGAAGAUGCCUAGUUUGUGAUGGUGUUGCUGAUGUACACUAAUAGUAAAAGAGUCUGGAAUACCCCAGUGCACUUUGAAAACAAAGUGUGAGUUGCUUGGGAUAUUCCUAUAUAUAUUGGGUGCGGAGGG